AGACCAUCACACCUCUCUGUGCUCUCUCUGCUCUCUGCUUUCUUCAUCUCCAGGUCUCCCAUCUGUCCCUGUCUCUACCAUCCUCAUCCUCACUCUGUCUCUCCAUGGGAGUCAUGUCCUCCCCCAGGUUCCUGUCACUUCAUCUGCUUGGAGCCUUGCUGCUGCCGCUGCUGCUGCUGCCUGGUUCUUGGGCCCAGCAUUAUGAUGAUUUCACAUCAUCUCCAGAUUACGACUCUGACUACAACUCCACCUUUGAGUACAGCUUCUUCAGUAAUACGAGCAGCGAGGACCUGGACAGACUUGUGGAACGCUACCUCGAUCCAGACGAAACUACGGAGGACACUGGAGGACCAGAGGAGGAAGUGGCUGUAACCAUGGUGAUUACAAGAAGAACAACAGAGGGGGUCAACGCUCACGGCACUGCACCAUUUCAGUGGCUCUCAUACACCUUCGUAAUUUUCAGCUUCGCCACUUCUUCCACACUAAAGUGUCCAGGUUGGGUCACUGUUGGACGUCCUAUAGAUGUCCAGAAUUGGUCAUGGACCGGCAGACCCAAUAUAGACCUGACGUCCAAUGUCCAGUGGGUGAGCUGUGCCCUCUCCCCUCCUACAAGGUCCACAGUCUGUGAUCUGUGCUCUGAUUUGUCUGGAUCAGUAAAAACAUUAAAAUCAACGUUAUUCAUACAGCAGCUUUAACAAAAGUCCUUCAAAGAGCAUCACGAGUGGCUGCGCAAACACAAACAGUAAAACAAUUACAGACAACAAUCAGCAAAGAAGAAAUAAACAUAACAAACAUAGAUCAUUUAAAUACAACCUCAAAAACAGCAGCGAUGUGAAAAAUACAAUAAACUUCUAUUUAUUGGAAACAAACCAAAAGUGACACCUAGUGGUCUUAACGGGAUAUGACAUCAGAUCGCUGCAGACCUCCAUCUGGAACAACGAGAAUCACAACUCUUCAUUAUUCAGAGCAGAAGCAUCACCGUGUGGCACAAACAGAGGAGACAGAGAUCUCUGCUCCUGUGUUUCAUACACAACCACAGGAUGAAGCUUUAUUAGCACAACAACACCAAACAGAAACAGUGACAACAUGUCACUAACUGGUGCACCCGUCUCAGUCCACACUCAGUAGAACAAACGGUUGUAGUUAUGUUAUAAAUGAACAUUAAAAACAAGAGAUUCCGUUUUAAACCACAACAGUCACCUCGAGGUGCUUUUUACUGUAAGGUCGACCCUACAGUGAUACAUAUGAAGAGUCAACAAUUCUAUAAAUAUAAAUAUCAACACUUCACGAGUUCUUUUGAUUCCUCAGAGGCAGCCGAUGGAAGACAGCACACUGCUCAGUAGACCAUUCAACACUUUAUUACUUCUAGAAGGGAGAUGCGUCCUGCACAACACGUUGCUGCAGAUCUCAAAAUGCUGGUGUGCCCC
ensembl:lncRNA